AAUUUCUACUGAGUCCCACCUUGUCCUGUGUCCGCCUCCUGCCUCCCACCACUCCAUCUUUGAAACAGCUUCACAGAGGUGGAAUUGAAACAUCUCCAUUGCCAGCAAAGCCUGAGAAGUGUUGCUUUCUGACCCCUUGGUUAGACUAGAGUACUGAGGAUUUAACCUAAUCUCUUCCCAUUGAGCUACAUAUGUAGCCCUUUUUAUUUUUUGCUAAAUCACCCAGAACUGUCUGGAACUUUUCAUCCUCCUGCCUCAGCUUCUCAAAAUGCUGACAUUCACCUCCCUGGACUUCACGUUUGUGGCCUUAUGUAAUACCUGGAUUGUUGCCUGGUGUUUGAAGCAAGGACUUACACUUUGGAUCUGAUUGCUGUUUUUCUCUGGUUAUCUCUUCUACGUUGUUAAUCUCACAUUGUUCAACCAUACCCAAACAAUGUGAAUUAACCGAACAUGUUCUGGCUGUGGAGAUGAUCUGAAUAAAACUGCAAAAACAGUCAUAACCUUCAGAGUCUUGCAGGUGGUCUUGGGAAGGCCAAGCACAAAGGAGCUGGAGAGCAGUCACAAACAGAGCAUCAACAUGAACAAAGGAAGGUACCACUGGCUGAACACUGGAGGGCCGGAAAAUGCAGAAAAUGGUCAGCGAGAGAAAAGUGAUGAGGCUUCUUGGAGGAAAU
ensembl:lncRNA